CCUGUGGCCUUUCCUGUGAAGGUCACCUUCCUCACUGCUGGGCAUAGAUUUUCCAACUUCUCCAUUCACAAUCUCCUAAACAAUCGCUCUCUUCUUUGCAUUCUCCUACUCUUGGCUUUUCUGUGAAUGAGGUUGGUUACAAGCAUAGCCUUGGGGGAAGGGUGCCCAGCUGAGGGAUGUGUGGGAGAUGGUUGGGCAGCUCAGCUACUGCUGCCGCUGGGCAUAGCACUGGCCAAGCAUUGGACCUCCCACAGUAAGCAAAUGGAAACUGUCCUUGGUCCACAGCAGCCAGGCGUGAGACUCUGGGUUUAACCCCUUGGUUGUCCUGGAAGCUGGCCUGGACUCUUCUCUGUUCCUUCUCACUCCAGUGCCCUGUAACCUUGAUGGGUCCUUGUCCAGGGCCAUGGUCUGAAGUUCAGAUGGGGCUGAGGGAGGAGCUCUGGGACAUCCCCCUGUUUGUGGACUUUGCUUUCUGAAUAACUCUCUUUGUCCAGGCUCUCAUUGCCUUUGCCUUACAAAUAAGAUCCGGGCUCCAGCCAUGGCCGAGCAUGUCUGGGCUGUUGACGAGAUGCUUUUGCUCUGCCUUACUUGUCGCUGGUCUGAGUGAUAGUAGGAACGAUUAAAGAUGUUGACAACAUGAGGUGUGGGUGAGGUCUGGUGGGCCAAUUCAGAAAACAGACUGUGGGUGCUCACUAUGCCCCCGGAGCCUCCCUGCCCAUCAAGAAGGUGACUGCAGUAUCCUUGGUCUGUAAGGCUGAUUGGAGCCAGCCAGGAGCAUGUCUACCUGGGGUUCAAAGAUGAAAGGGUCUUCUAGGUGAUUUGAAGAGGCACUUCCAGUGUCAGUGCAGGCAUCCCUCUCCUGGUGCUGCUGCCUGUGCUCACGAGGGAAAGCUAGCACAUUGCCUAACAGGGUUUCCUCCUCCCCAUUUGGGAUGAGUCUGAGUUGGGCCUAAAUAGCCUGAGACACUGGCCAGUUUGAAGGAUGCUAAGCAGUCUGGGAAAGUGAAACAUUUCUUUCUUCAAGAUACUUGAGCAUCUUGUGGUGAGAGGUAGUUGGAGGGUUGGAGCUGGGGCAGGAAAACAGAGGAAAAGUCAGGUUGGCUGCAGGUACAGGGGGCAGACGAGGCCCCCCAGGACAUGAGCGAUGGAAUCUGACCACUGCUGGUCUGAGCUGGGGCCUUGGCUCUCACACAGGUGGCAUGUCUGUAGACCUGGCUCUGCCUGACCCCCACGCCUGCUCAGAGCCCCAUCCUUGGCUAGAUCAGGAGUAUUGCAGUGGGAUGUCACCGGGGAAUUGGUUCUACUUCUGGUCACCAUGCUUGCCCCUGGGGCUUGUUUGUUCCCAAAGUUGGGGUUGGAACUGGCCUGCUGAUUUUCCUAUUUUUGUCCCUUCUCUAGUUCUUUGCACCCUCUCACCAGCCUGCUGGCUCCUGCUGCCAUGACACUGGGCAUUGUGUACUGCCAGUCAGGCGAGCAGAACAGUUGGCAUCCCCUCCCAGGGGGCCCAGGCAUAUCUGGCACUUUUUCCUUGACCUUUGAAACCCUGAGGUUCAGGAGCCAAGAGGUGGUGUAGGACCUCUCCACCUGGUGAACCAGCAGAGGCUAAUGGAGUUGGUGGCACCAGAGCCCAGGUAAUGUGGCUUGGCUGGAGUAAUGGGGAGGGUCCCCACUGGGGGCCCUGAUUGGUCCAUGCUUUCUCGGUUUCCUGGAAUCCUGGUCUGAUCAAGCCUGAGAACUGUCUCAUGCAUAUCUUGGCUCCGUCUUCUGGUGUGAGUGGCUGUGACGUGGUAGGCACAGCUUUAGAGGGACCUGGUGUUUUGGCCUGGCCACCUCUAUGGGCCUAUUGCCUCUCCUUCCUUCCCUUCCCCUCUCUUUUCUCCCCUUCCUCCCUGCCCCCUGUUUGCUCUGCUGCUGUUCUGGGAGCUGGAGUGACUAUGAGAGAAGCUUGGAGUGGGUUUGGCUUCUGUCUAGCUCCUUCCACAGGAGCUCUACAUGGGCUUACACAGCCAGAGCCUCCAGGGCCCACGGUCUAUUCAGGCCUGUGUGGGCUGGUGUGGGGGGAUGGGGAUAGAGAGAACCAUGUGGGAGGACAGUCCAGUGCACAGCUAGGCCUGCCCGCUGUGGUCUCAGACUGAGGUGGGCGUCCCAGGGCCUGGCGCUGCAGGCAACAUGGUGCCCAGAUCUGGGCCUGUAAUGAGAUGGACAUCAGUGCUCAGGCUGUCCCAGAUGGGGGAGAUUGACCUUUGAAAAGGGGCCCUUCCGCUUUUGCUUAUCUGAUUCCUUCCACAGAACAGCGGGUGAUGUAGGAAAUGUUUCCCUUUUAUGGUUAAAGCCACUGUGAUUAUUAAGAAGUGACUGAGCCAAGGUCACACGCUUGAGGUUUCAAUCCAGGCACCUUUGCUUCCCAAUCUGUGCUCUCUUGUUCUCUCUCCUGUGGUGGAAGCAGACAUUUUUGGUGAGCUGAGACCCUCAGGUAAUCAAGGCAGCUCUCCCCUACCUCCCAUUGGGAACUUCCUAGUAGCUGGGGACUGUUGUGACACUUUCCUUUUAAGGGAGGCAGGGCCUGGGCAGGUCCCCUUCGGUGUCAGGCCAGCAGAAUUGGGCAUGGUCAGUACUGGCGUCACACCAAUGUGUCCGAGGCCUGUGCUUUCCCAAGGCAGUGUUUGAGCCUGAGGAGAGUCAUGAGUCAUUAUCUGACAAAGAAUGGACAACAAUUAUAAACCAGGCACAUCUGGAGAUUGUGUGAGGCCUGAGAAGGACACCCAUACAGAAGCGGGGGUGGGGGGUGGCGAGGCAGGUGACUGUCAGGGUCACAAGACUGAGGGGCCUUGGCCACCUGGGUGGCCAUGGGGUGGAGCCUGCCCAGCUGGGACAGUGGCCCCUGGCAUUUCCUAAGAACUAGGGAGACCCGCCCUCUGCUUGCAGGAACUCGCAGUGAGCCAAGGUCAGGAUGGGAGGGACACCACGCCUCUGGUCACCAGCAAACCGGUUUUUUUCCAUGUCCCGUGGCUUCUGUGCCCCGGCUCAGUCACCAUGCGUCUGUCUUUGGCCACGCAGCAUGCAGGGACAUUCUGGUUUGGCUUUUGCCGAGUCAUUGGUCAAAUAUGUGCCUACGAGAGGCACGCUUAGAGCUCAGCCUUGCCUGCCUGUCGGAACGUAUGGUUCCCAGAGCUAAUGACCGUGGGGCUGAGGUCACCCCUUGGUGAAUGCUCCGAGGAGCCUUAUUCUACGUAGGGCUGCUGUGGGUGGUGCAGGACAGCUCCUGGGCCCUGGAUCAUUGAUGUGGGAUCAGAGAUGGCCGGCCCCAGAUGAGUCAGGCCGGGGAUCCUCCUUCUGCCCAUGUAGCUGCCACCUGCUGUGGGGGCCUGGGGAGAGUGCGGUGUAUGUGGCUUGGUGAAGAGGAGACGGCUGGAGAACUGAGUUACUAUGAGACAAGGGAAGGGUUCCUGAAGGACUGUCUGGGAACUUCCAGAAUCCUCGGCCCCAGGAGGUUCUGUCAGCUGGAAGGAGGACCUGUGAAUGGGCACAGUUUCUGACAGUCCUCCCAGAAGGAGGAGGGGCGUCCACAGGGAUGGAUGCAGGUGAUGGGCCAUGAACACGGCUCCCACGGAGAAGUCUGUGGGAGAAGGGCCACGUGAGAGCUGCUGGAGCCUGUGGGGCUGUGUGGGGCUGUGUGGGGCUGCUCUGAGAGCCCAGGCCUGGGAGAGAUGCUCAGCCCUGCCUGGCUCUGCACCCUGGGGCGGUGAUGACGAUUGGUGGGCCGGCCAUUGUCUGCUCUGGUGGCUGUACCCUGUGAGGCCAGGAAGUUGUUCUUUAUAUUUAGCCUUCUUUUCUCAUGUGGUUGCUUAAGGCCUUCUAUUAAAAAAAAUCAAGUUACAUUUUAAAACAAAAAGAAGAUGACAACUAAAGAAAAGGAAGAGACAACACUAAAAAUAUCUCAGCACCACCAGUUCCAGUUUGGCUUUUCAGUCUUGAGUCAAUUAAAAAAAAAUGGCAGAAAUAAAACACAUGCAGGAAAGCCUGAAGAUCCAGACCCGGGCCAGGUGUGGCCCAAGCUCUGGUCCAGCCUCUACAUGCCAGGUUCAGUCCUGACCGUCUGCCCCUUGUCUGAGGCUGUGUGGCUGGGGCCCCUGAGGCUAGUGGGGCUCGUUGUGCAAUCUGUGAUGCAGAAGGCAGCUUUAAAAAUAACCCCACUUCUCCAGACACUGGCUGCCAUCCCUUUGCAGGAUGUCCACCCGGGGCUCGGGGGACCCGGGAGCCCGCUCCCCACUCCCAGUGGGGCACACAGAACAGGGCUAGAAUGCAGGGCUCAGCCAAGCGAGCCAUUGACUAUUUGUUCUCAUGUCACACUGCCCCUGUUGCUUGGGCGUCGCCCGUCUGGUCCCCACUCGACCCUGCUAGUCAGGUGGCAGUGUCCUUGUGGAUGUCAAGCUGGCUGCCUGUGCCUGCUCAGCUGGGCUCCCUGACCCCAGCCUGCUGGCUCCUGGUAUUGUCUUCUGGGGCAGGGGUGAGGGACGGGCUUGGGAGUGGGUCACUAGGGCCUGGGCAGUGUGCAUCUCUGAAGAUCCUGGGCUGCUUCUCUGUGCUUUGUGAAGGGAGCAAAACCUUUGCCCAUAUGGCUUCUCUUCUCUGAUUCUUUAGACUUCUUGACACUCCCUUGAGACCUGGUCUGCACUCCUUGACUGGGAAGAAGCCAGCCACGCCAUACGUGUUCCCCAAGAGAGUCUCUUCAUUUUGGAAGUUUCCAGAGUAUCUGACUAUGCUUCGGUUGAGUACCGUCACUGAAAGGUACAUCCUCGCUGUGGGAUUGUCAGGAUGUUUCUGAGAGAUGGGCGAGCGCCGCCCAGAACUUUGCUCAGCAUGUGUGGUGUGGUGUGUUACCUGUUGGCAGGCUCACAUGUAGCACCUGCUGCAGGUGCUGGCUAAGGUUCAAUGCGGCGUCAGGUACUAGAAACACCAGCUUCAGUGCUGGUGGUAGACCUCACCAUGAGAGUGAAGGUGGCUGAGAGGAUGCCCGGUCUCACCUAGCCUUGAACAUUGAGUGGAACCCGCUCUUUCCAGGGAUGCUGAGCCAAAUCCCUUGACUUUGUAUCUACCCCAGGCUUCCUGUGUGGGGUUAUAGCUGAUUGCUGUCAGCUGCUUCUGAGGAUUUUGGUGUAAGAAAGGGAAGAUUGGACAGGACAGCUUGCAUGUACCUCUGCGAACACCAAUCCUUUUGCUCUCCCUGAUGGCAGCCAUAGCUGUGAGACUCCCCAAGACAGGGAAUUGCUGUCUUGGAUGAUUCCUUUGCCAGCCACCUGGUGGGUAUGGCUCUUCCUGUUCCCCUGGUGGAUGGACAAAUGGAUGGGCUCAGUGUGCAGUGGGGAGAGCAGCUCAGGUCAGACCACAGGAAGCAGUCUGGGCCCUCGUUGCUGAAGGGUCUCAAACCCCAGGCCCAGGCUCUUUUAAUCCAACACGGGGAGACUGGACAUCCUAGACAGUGCCCCCCACCCCUUGCCACCAGUCAUGAGGCUGUGGUACCUGGCAGCCAUGGGCAGAAAGCUGGAGGUGUGGGUAUUAGGAUGGGAAGCAGGUUCCUCCCUUCUCUUUCCAUGUGGGGCAGGCAGGACUGGAAGGAGGUGUGCCAGUGUGGGCAUCCACCCUGGCACCGGAGUUUCCUUUUGCAGUGAGAAGCUGUGGUGCUGCUUGGGGAACCACUGCUAUUUGCAUGUCAAGAGAAAAGCAUAGUACUUCUCUGCCCUUCCAGGGAGGCCCUGUGCUAUUCCAGUCCUAUGGAGGCCUACCCUGUCUUCCUGGUAUUCAGGACCUUUGACGGGCAUGGCAGAGGAGCCCAGAACCCAGCAUUCCCGGUGGCGAGAAGAUGGAGGACCUGGCUCGGCUUCCGGCACCUCCCCCAGCCUGGCUGGAGCUCGCAUCAGUCACGUAAGUGGCGGUGACUCAGCACCCAGUGCUGGGUUGGGAGAGAGACGCUGCUGCCUUGGCAGGAACCUUCUCACGUCCUGGAUCGCGCACGCUGUGGCUACACAGAGCAGGCAAGCAGGGUUAGGUUCCUGGGGGCCCAUAGCUGGAUGCUUGGGUUGGGGGGUGUGUCACAACUCAGAACCCCCUUUUCCUUCUCCUGUUACUUCCAGGAGCACCCUCCUGGGCCUGGAAUACUUGGGGCUCUGAAUGAUGUGGAUAGCAAUCCUGGCUGCCAGGAUCAAGUAGAAGCUGUCUGGCAGCCUUCACCCAGUUUUCACCCCAAGGCCCAUGAAUUUUGUCUAACCCUCAGAUGUGUUUUGUCUUGCAUGACUUGCAUGGCGUGGGUUUGUGUGCCUAGAGGCAGCAUGGGACCUGUCCAGGUCACCCUAGACUGCUGCUGUGGCUGUUUCUCCCGACAUCCUGUCGCGUCCCCUGGACAUUGCAUGGAGUGAGACAGUCCACUCCGGCACCCCAUCUCUGCAGGUGGAGACCUGGAGGCCCGUCCAGGGCAAGCGGCAGCUCCCUGGUCUCAGAGCUGGCACCAAGCAGGCGUCAGAGCCACCGUGCUCUGAUUCAACGGCAGUGACCUUUCCUCCACCGUCAGGUCAGUGCCCAGGCCGAGGCGCGUCUGGCCGUGACAGGGUAGGGAAGCUGCCAGACAAGGGCUGGGGCCAGGGCCCCCAAGAGCACCUGCCUACGUGUUGGUUCCCUGCUGGCGGGCACCACUGCCCACCCCUCUUCAAAAUAGGACUGCCAAGAGCUUUGCUCAGGGCCAGUGUGCAUGGAGCCAGAGUGGGAGAAUCCUGUGGCUCCAGGUGGGCCGGUAGGCUGUCUCCAGGGAGCAUUUCUGAGCAGGUCACCUCAGGCUCCACGCCCCAGCCUCUAUCUGCGCAGUUAUGGUGGAAGUGCUGCUUGCCCCAGAGCUGGGUCAUCGCCUGCUGGCCUCCUGUAAGAGGGAGGACUUGUGGUUCUGUGGUGGGAGUCGAGGCAUGGAGGCAUGGUGGGCCUUUGCGGGAGAUCAGUGGAACCAGAAGGGGAGGAGCUGUUGGAUGGAAACUGUUGCUGCUCUUUCUUCCUGUGCAGGGUCCAUAGUAACCCAGCCUCACUCCCAUACUCAUCUUUCAGGGAGCUCAGUGUCCGCUUGUAGACAGGAGAAGGGGGAACCUGUGCCCCAGCCCCACCUCUUAGUUUUCUGUGCUGGCGGCCGCCUCGCUGUCCCUGUGGCUGCUUUGCUGGACUCGGGAUGGUGCUGAGCUUCAUGGGUCUCAGGCCAUUCAGGCAUUCUGUGACCACUGUCAUCAGGCAAGAUAAGUGCCUUCUCUCAGGAGGGUGCCUGAAGUGUCUCCCAAGCCAGGUAGGACCUGGAACCUUCCUUGAGCUAGGUGGGGGCACAGGACAGGGGUCUGGGAGAAUAGCAAAGGGCGAGUGGGUGGAGAGGUGGAGGGCAUUCCAGACAGGGGACGGCAUAGGCAGGGCACUGUGGGGGUGGCAGCGGAUCUCCCAUGAGGAUACAGGAAGGGGUUUGUGGAUCCUGGCAGCUAUGGAUUGCUAAGGGAGAGUGUGGUCAAACUGAAAAAAGCUGAGGAGCCCCAGGUGUGACCUCGUCUGCCCAUCAUUUCAUGGGAUUUAAACCUUCAGUAAUGGCUGUCAUGCAACAUGUUCCCCUGCCAUUUAAACUCCUGUUGUUGUACAGGUCACAGGGCCCAGGUGUCGGCAGCACUCAGAGCCUUGGGAUGCAGACCCAAGUGCUGGAGUCAGAACCCCCCCAACAAACACACACAGAUCCUCCACCCUCUUUCCCACCCCCCAACAUCUGCCUGCUGAGGGAAGAGAGCAGAGCAGUGGCCCUGAGCUGCCUGUACCUGUUACAUGACCAGAGUCAUGCUGCCACCUCCCCCCAGGUAUAACGUGUCACCUGAGGGGACUUCUGAAGGAUUGGGAACACACAGAAUAAAAAGGCAGGUUUCUAUUUAUUGCAAAGAGGAGGUGUAAAAGAAACCCAAUGACUGUUUUUUCACACGAUGCUCUCCGCAUGAACUUGUUUAAGACCCCACAUUGUUUAGCUAGCAUCAUCCCGCCUCGGCAGUAAUGCCUGGGGGUCCCUACCCUCAUCCUGCUGAUGACGAAGUUCAAGAACAAGAGAGGACGCACAUACCUGUGGAGGUCACAGAAGGCAGAGAGGGGCAGAGACUUGGGUCUGCAUUGAUUGCUCAUGUGGCUGUGAGCAGGGUGAUUUAGCUCCCCUAAAGAUCGGUUUCUUCUGAAAAACAGCAAAACCCGGCACGAACGCCUGUUUUUCAGGACUGCUGUGAGAGUGAAACAGCAAAGUUCUCGAGGUUCAGGUUUUCUUGCCUACCCUUAAAACAAACAUGUUGUUAGUGCCUGGCUCCGGGAAAACACAAACCCAUUUACAGGGAUCCACAGAAUUGGCAGAGAACCUGAAAGAUACAUCCUGUUCUCGCAUCUCCCUCGUGGUUAUGGUAUCAGAGGAAACACUUCACAAAACCAGAAAAGAGGAUGCAAAAAAAAAAAAAAAUUAAUUCAGAGCACAGUUGCAGAUCUGAUUUUCAGACAAAUUUGAAAACAAGACAAAACUUUAUUCUUAAUGAACAUAAGAUAAGCAGCUAAAUGUAGUUCCAGGUUUUUAAUUCGCAUCAGAGGCUAAAUCAGAUUGUCAUCUUAGGAGUUUGUAUCUGAGUGUUGUACUCCUUGUUUCUGGGUGGGAGGAGGGGCCCCUUGGGAAGUCGCCCUGGCCCAGAUGACGCUCACCUUAGCCCUUACUCCAGCAGGCAGGUAGGACGCCUGUGCCUGCACGAAGUGAGAAACCCCUUACACACUGGGCAGUGCACAAAUGCAGGGCUGUGUGAACGUAAAUGUUAAUGUAUUCUGAUACUAGCUUUGCUAGCUACUUCUUCCUGUGUGUUAGAAUUUGCAGAGACUGGAAUGAAUGCAUUUGUAUUGCUCUCAUGUAUUUGGAGUAUCAGCUCUGACUGGCAUGUGGCUUUGGCCAGCCCCAGCAAUGUCUUUUCUGAGGGGGCUUUCUGCCCGGUCACACGUCAAGCUUCAACAAGAUCCACCUCCGCCGGCUUCCGAUCGCACCUCCCUUCUGCCUGCAGUGAGAGCCUCUUCUUCUGGAAGCUGGUUUCACAUGGUGGCUUAGAUUUUUCCAUCUUUGUAUCUAGCACCAUUUGAAAUCAGUGUUUUAGGAGUAAGAAUUGCAGCAUGGCAGGGCACAGACUCCGUGGAACUGCUGCUGGGGAAGCUCCUGCCUCCUCCUGCCACCUGCGCCUGGGCAAGAAGCCGAAGGAAGACCCGAACAGCAGAGUCACUCGAAAAUGCUACGUUUUCUGAGGGGUGAUGGCAGUGGGGUGGGAUGGGUUUCUUGCAGCCGCCCGAGCAGCAGUACAGGCUGCCAUAUUUUUCCUGACCGCUGUCUGCUCACAGCCGUCUCUGGCGCCAGACUCUGGUAGGACUUGGAGCUGGGGUUGUGUUGUUGUGGAAUGCAUUAGGCACCAGGUACUGGCCGGCCAGCAGAUUGGGGCCAUGUGCUGGGGAGCUGUCCAACUACCCCUAAAUGAUGCUCCAGAGUGUUAAGCUGUGGGUGCUGUGCAGCUGAAGUCAGACUUGCCACUUGCAUGCAGGUACAGCCCUGGGGACGCCACUGGCCCAUCUCUUACACAGGCUGACCGAUUUCUCCUGGUGUUCAGAGUCUGUUUUUGUCUAGCACCAUUUGAAAUCGGUUAUGAUGUAGGGGGAAAAGCAGCGACCGCCACACCUCGUGCCGCCACCUCUGGUGUCCUGGAAGAUGGAUGGGCAGAGUAGGGAAGAAGGCACUCUUUCCUACUAACUGUAACUGAUUUUAUGAUGGUAUUACUGCAGAGGUAAGCCAUACAUUAUCGGUACAAAAACAACAAAUCACUAUCAUUUAUCUGAUGUCCUUCAUUAUGUUUCCUGAAUUGUAGAACUGCUGUAAAUUGUAUAAACUUGGUUGCUGUUGAAGUAUCUUUCUGUUAAGAUGAGUCUAUUCAUACAUCCUGACCUUAAUAAAUAAUUUACUAGAUUCAAUUUAUUAUGUCUGUGUUUUUCAUCUAUUAUUUUCCAUUCAUAAUUCCAUGACGAUAAGAAGUGGUUCCUGAAAAAUUAAUUGACUGUGCAGAUCCUCCCUAUUCCAUAAAGAAUUUGAAGUAGGCUGCAGCAGACAUUAAAAAUGAAGCCCAUUAAGACAAGGAAUUCUAUGAGCCAAAAAAUAAAGUGGGAGAAGAGAUGACGGAAGAGGAGAACUGUGGAUGGGCUGGGCUGAGGGCGUUCCUUACCAAAAGGGAGAAGCGUCUUUGGUUCCAAUCGGACUGCAGACCUGGCUGGCUGCCAGUCAGUGUUCCUGCAAGAAACUUUUGCUAACUGAACAUAUUGUCAGAGGGUCUUUGCAGGGAGCAGCACUGAUGUCACUCGCGUCCCAGCAGAUGGAGUUCUACUUUUGCCUGUGAGUUUAUAUCAACCCUUGAAAACAGGGUGAGCCAGUUUUGCAAAGCUAUUCGGAGAUUAGCCAGAUUUGACUUGGUAGGGGAGCAAGCUUGGAGAAUCUUCAAAAAGGCAGGCUCUGACCCCUCGGUGGUGAGGGCUUUUCCCACAGGAGGUGCAUGGCUGGCAGUGAGCUACCUGCAGCACAGUUAGUUCCAGCCAGUGGCUUUCAGUAAAUGAAGGCAAGUUGGCCACCUGAAAACAGGCCUCGCAGUCUUCCCCCAGAUGGCUGCUAUGCCCAUUGGGCUGGGGCUGAGAGGGAUGGGUGUAGUGUUUGCUGGGAAGACUUCCUGGGGAAUGGGAUGUGCCCCCUUGCUGAAGCUGUAGUGCUGUCGCAAGCCGUUGGUGGAAGAAUCCAUAGUCUAAUCCCCAGGAGGUGGGGGAUGUAGGAAGUUCGGAGUCUAAAUUGCACAUGGAGCUGCUGCUGUGACAGUUUGGGGUCUGUUGCAUUAACACAUUAAACAGGUUCUGAUCCAUGGUCCAUAUCUUGGACUCCUCAUUUGUUCCUGUUGCAAAUACAGAUACCAUGAGUAUACCCAGGUGACCCCAACUCUGCUGAGUGAUUGAGUUUAUAAGCAUCAAAGCACAAAAAUUUCAAUAAUAUGGGACAUCUUUUCCACAGAAGACGUUUGGGGCACUCUCAUUGCCAGCUUGAUCAUAAACGAUGCCACAUCAAUGGGUCGUGAGAAACAGAAUGUGCCUGGGACGUGUCUCAAACAGGGUUGCUUGGUUUUUCCAUGCCCAAAGCCCUUUGACUAAAAUUGCCAUGCCGAGGAGGAUUGGUU